UACGAAGGGGGCUAGCGUUGUUCGGAUUUACUGGGCGUAAAGCGCACGUAGGCGGGUUGUUAAGUCAGGGGUGAAAUCCUGGAGCUCAACUCCAGAACUGCCUUUGAUACUGGCAACCUAGAGGCUGGAAGAGGUUAGUGGAAUUCCCAGUGUAGAGGUGAAAUUCGUAGAUAUCGGGAGGAACACCAGUGGCGAAGGCGGCGAUCUGGGCCGUAACUGACGCUGAGGAGCGAAAGCGUGGGGAGCGAACAGG
rnacentral:rRNA from 1 species